rnacentral:rRNA from 1 species
UACGAAGGGGGCUAGCGUUGCUCGGAAUCACUGGGCGUAAAGCGCACGUAGGCGGACUCUUAAGUCGGUGGUGAAAUCCUGGAGCUCAACUCCAGAACUGCCUUUGAUACUGAGGAUCUUGAGUCCGGGAGAGGUGAGUGGAACUGCGAGUGUAGAGGUGAAAUUCGUAGAUAUUCGCAAGAACACCAGUGGCGAAGGCGGCUCACUGGCCCGGUACUGACGCUGAGGCACGAAAGCGUGGGGAGCAAACAGG